CAAACCUCAACCAUUCCCUUCUAUGAUGUAGAAUGGCUACUGAAAAGGAAGAAAAAAGAAAACUGUCAGAGGACAGUGGGAAACAAAUGCAUUAUGAUUUACUUAACAGGGAACCGUAAGGAGGAGUUCUGUCCAAGAACAUGGAAAUUGCUUUUGUAAAAUACUUUCUAAAAUUUUUCUUUUCUUUUGUUUAUUUUUUCCCCAGAAGAGCUAUAGAGAAAAUCCCUUCUGGGAGCACCGUGAUCCCCUGGGAGCACCACAAUACCUGGAGGUGGUAGAAGCUGGUGAGUUUGUUAAACCUGCCUCCAGGACACUCCAUGUGGUGCUGGGCUGGGAUAUUUUUGAGGCUGGUGCAAGCAGCAGUGAGGAAACAGAGGCCUAGUGGUAUGGUGGUCAUUCCAGAAAUGUAACCCCUCAGAAACGUGCUACCCAGCCUCUUAUAACAAGGGUAAAACAAAUAAAGCUGCUGCCUAUUUGGACCAUA